UGCCUGGUGGAUUAGUGGCGAACGGGUGAGUAACACGUGAGUAACCUGCCCCUGACUUCGGGAUAAGCCCGGGAAACUGGGUCUAAUACCGGAUAUGACUUCCUGCUGCAUGGCAGGGGGUGGAAAGAUUUAUCGGUUGGGGAUGGACUCGCGGCCUAUCAGCUUGUUGGUGAGGUAAUGGCUCACCAAGGCGACGACGGGUAGCCGGCCUGAGAGGGUGACCGGCCACACUGGGACUGAGACACGGCCCAGACUCCUACGGGAGGCAGCAGUGGGGAAUAUUGCACAAUGGGCGAAAGCCUGAUGCAGCGACGCCGCGUGAGGGAUGACGGCCUUCGGGUUGUAAACCUCUUUCAGUAGGGAAGAAGCCCCUUUUUGGGGGUGACGGUACUUGGAAAAAAAGCGCCGGCUAACUACGUGCCAGCAGCCGCGGUAAUACGUAGGGCGCAAGCGUUAUCCGGAAUUAUUGGGCGUAAAGAGCUCGUAGGCGGUUUGUCGCGUCUGCCGUGAAAGCCCGAGGCUCACCCUCGGAUCUGCGGUGGGUACGGGCAGACUAUAGUGAUGUAGGGGAGACUG
rnacentral:rRNA from 1 species